rnacentral:tRNA from 1 species
ACUCAUCUUGGUGCAAAUCCAAGUAAAAGUA